rnacentral:rRNA from 1 species
GCACAAGCGGUGGAGCAUGUGGUUUAAUUCGAUGCAACGCGAAGAACCUUACCUGGUCUUGACAUCCACGGAAGUUUUCAGAGAUGAGAAUGUGCCUUCGGGAACCGUGAGACAGGUGCUGCAUGGCUGUCGUCAGCUCGUGUUGUGAAAUGUUGGGUUAAGUCCCGCAACGAGCGCAACCCUUAUCCUUUGUUGCCAGCGGUCCGGCCAGGAACUCAAAGGAGACUGCCAGUGAUAAACUGGAGGAAGGUGGGGAUGACGUCAAGUCAUCAUGGCCCUUACGACCAGGGCUACACACGUGCUACAAUGGCGCAUACAAAGGGAAGCGACCUCGCGAGAGCAAGCGGACCUCAUAAAGUGCGUCGUAGUCCGGAUUGGAGUCUGCAACUCGACUCCAUGAAGUCGGAAUCGCUAGUAAUCGUGGAUCAGAAUGCCACGGUGAAUACGUUCCCGGGCCUU